UGGGAUGCGAUACAGAAUUUCUCCUGUGUGUAGACUAUUUCGGAUCUUGUAUGUGUGUGUGUGUGUGUGUUUGUUGAAGAAAAUUUGGACUUAGAGGAACUGCGUGUGGGAGGUGUUCAGUGAUUGGGUGGUUCAUGGCCAUGGCUAUAGCGGUAGUGAUGCAGCCCACUGUCCUGUGCGGACUAUGUGUGAUGGGGGGCCUUGUCCUCUUCGUUGCCUGUUUUGUCCCCUCUCUCUCUUCCUUGAUCCCUAAGCAUUGCCAAGAAAGUGGAACGAUCUAACUUGUCUGCCUCUUUUACUUUAUAUCUCAGGACUAUGCUCUACCCAGUGUUGCAGGCUAUGGCACACGGAAUUUUCCAGUUCUCAGCAAGAAACCGAAAGGUUAUCAGUGUAGGUGUACAGAGCUUAGAGCAGGCCGGCGAAGCAAUUGUGCACCCAUAGUCAUAUCAGAGUCUCGACUGUACCCUUAGUAAAUUCUUACUACGUAUUCACUUCGAGAAUUGCAAUACAUCUGAGGUUCGGUUGUGCCGUGGUACCGGUGGUUGAACCUUCCAUCUCUCCCUCUGAGGUUGCUAGUUUCCAUCCCAUGAAUCCGAGUAUUCCAGGUUAAAGUGGGACCUCUGCCAGUUUCACGGAUAGGGCUAGGCAUCUGGUUUCCCUUCUUUAGGGAUUGGAAGAAGAUAUGGAUGCGGAGUUGCGGGAAGUUCUUACAGUUACAGACAACAAGAGCAUCAGUCUUUCCAAUACUACUGUUUCUUACCAAGCUAGAAAUCUGACUCAUCGAAGCGAAUUUCUGCUCAAAAAACUUAUCCACAGGUAUCCAGGUUUGUCGAGAAUUCCUUAAACAAGAACAGAAUGGACGCAGAAUGCCAGAGAUCACAGUUAAGCAUGCACAUCAGACAGACAAAUUAAUUCAUUGUAAACAACUCACUCUGAGCUUGACUUAUUACUGAACACACUGAAGCCGACUGCAAGGAGAGCUCAGAUUUGCUCAGGUAGAACUACAAUCCUGCGUCUGUUUUAAUGCCUUAAAACAACUAUUUUCAGCAACAAUUAUCAUAUUACAACAAUCAUCUUGUUCUUUUCUUAACCACAUUUGUUAUUGUUAACCUAGAUUGGAUGAACAACCCGUUAACUAUAUUCAUUUACAAGCUCUUUUGUCAAGAUUACCAUAAAAAGGAAUCUCUGGUCAACAAAUAUUUUACCGAAGAUUUUUUUAAGAUGUAUUUUUUUAAGAUGUAUUUUUUUAAAAUGUUAAUUGCCGUGUUUGAACCUUUCUUCUACAAAAAUUCAUAUGCGAACUUCAUACAUUAAUCUAACCUAGAUGUUUACCAUGACAACUGUUUUUUUUAUGAAGGAAAAUUUCUCACAGCUCUUUAAUAAAACAUGAAAGAAUGUUUGGAUUAAACUUGCUAUUCAAAAACUUCCCUUAAUGUAUGUAUCAAAGGAGGCGUUCUUACCCAUUUGUUGAAAAGGAGACUAGAAUUAAAACUAGGAAAUAAAACGUGGAGACUAGGAGACUAGAGAUAAAACGUAUAAACAUUUUAACCAUCGGUUUGUGCGAGUUGUAAACUUUAGAGUUUAAUAGUUAUAUUAUUAAAAAUAAGUACAAAUUGCAAACUAAUGUACUUGGUAUAGUAAAACAUUUGAUAAAUGAUUCUUUAUUAUGAUAUGAUCAUACCUUGGAAGUUUUGUAAACAAUAAUAAACAAAAAAACCAAGUUGUAGAGAAGAUUGCAAUCA